ACACUGGCAAGACUUACGAGGUCAGCCCCAAUCUCACCAGUGCCCUUCUAGAUAUUCACGUAGCGAUCCUGCAAGGCUCGACCUGACAGACUCUAGAAUGAUCCUGGGAUGGGUGUCCCGCUGAGGAGAGAACAAAUGGAGUCCCUUUUGCCCUAAGAAGGAGUGUGCUUAAGGCGUCUUGCCUUGGUUGGCAUGAGAUGGAGACACAGCCGGUCAGUGUCUUCAACCUCCUCCCACAGCACACGAGGCCCCGCGAGCCGCAGCCCCUCCGCAGGUGCUUGUGGAGCCGAGGGAGAAACAGGACGACAUUCAGACCCGAGGUUACCGCACGCUGCGGCCUGCGCCUUUCGGUCACACCGCGGAAGGACUGCGCCCCUGAGGCAGAUUUUGGGAUCUGAGCAGUCAUUGGUGCCUCCUGGAGUGUCCUGCCGUUGCAGAGAGAGACUAGGAGGGCGCUCUUCCCAGUCUGGAGACCAGGAGGCAAACACAAGGGGUCUGAAGGGCCACAGCCCCUCGGAAGCUCCACGGGAGAGUCCUUCCCGGCCCCUCCGAUUCCUGCGACGGUCCUGGACCUGUGGCCACAGCCCUGCGGUCUCUGCCUCCAUCGUCACAUGGCUUCACCUUUCACGUGUGUGUUGACUUCCCUCCCUCUCAAAGGACACCAGUCACCAUGGGUGAGGACCCUCCCCAGAACUGGAUCGCAGACACCAUGUGACCCUGCGACGAGGCCAGGGGCUCCGGAAUUGCGGCGGGACAAACUUCGGGUGGGAUCACCGAGGCCGCAGUCCCCGCAGCGAGAGGCAGAUCCGCCCUGGAGAAAACCAGGGGCAGCACGUGACUUCAGCAACUCUUGCAGGGGGAGGGGUUAAUAGACGUGUCUCCAUCCACCUGCCGUCUGCCAUUGUCUGUUCUCACCUGAAUUUCCUCAGGACGAGGAAGGAGAAAAUCGUCAGGUAUCAGAAAAUAAAAAUAACCACACGUUCUCACACCCAACCCCGGAAAUUAAAACGAACCGAUGCUUCCAGUUUGCAGGAAAUGCAGGAGAAGGAGGCAAAGCACCCGUCCCCGAAGGGAACAAUCAGACAAAUGCAGAAUGUGGGGUUUUCUACCUGGAAACUGGCCCGCCUCCUUGGGGAGAUGGGUCUAGAUUGAAAGAGGCAAGAGAGACACAAACAAAAUAGGACGCAUAAGCCCUGAGGGUCCUACAACUGAAGGCGCUCACGCCGGCCAGACUUCAGAUGCCCUGAAGUUCUGUGUGUGACAAGUGUUCCCUGUGUGGGAGAACAGCCUCACUCUUCACGGUCGCUCAACGGGGUUGUUUGGGGUGAUUUCCACCACGUCCAAGAACAGAGCAGGGGAAUAAAGACAUUUUGCAAAUAGUUA